GGUCACCUUAAUCCAGGCUCUUGCUGCUCAACCUGGAGGGCCUCCGCAGAUUCGACUUACAGGCAUUGAUGAUCCAACAUCAGCAUAUGCUCGUGGAGGAGGACUUGAUAUAGUGGGGCAAAGACUAUCGAGGCUUGCUGAAUCAUGUAAUGUACCCUUUGAGUUCCAUGCUGCUGGAGUUUCUGCUUCUGGAAUUCAACUGGAGAAUCUUGGAAUUCGAGAUGGUGAGGCUAUUGCAGUUAAUUUUGCAUUAGCACUUCAUCACUUGCCAGAUGAAAGUGAAUCAUCGGGACAGGCUGUUGAGGUUGACUAAGAGCUUAUCUCCCAAGGUUGUAACUCUUGUUGAGCAAGAAUCAAAUACUAAUACUGCCCCGUUCCUUCCCCGUUUCAUAGAGACAUUGAACUAUUAUUUGGCUAUCUUUGAAUCAAUAGAUGUUACUCUACCAAGGGAGCACAAGGACCGGGUCAAUGUUGAGCAGCACUGUCUUGCUGGGGAGGUUGUCAACGUUAUAGCAUGCGAGGGUGCUGAGAGAGUGGAGCGUCAUGAACUUCUGGGUAAGUGGCGAUCAAGGUUUACCAUGGCUGGGUUUACACCCUAUCCAUUAAGCACUUUUGUGAAUGCUACUAUCAAAACUUUGCUGGAGACCUACUCCAAGAAGUACACUCUUGAAGAACGAGAUGGAGCUGUAUAUCUUGGCUGGAUGAACCGACCUAUGAUUGCUUCUUGUGCAUGGAGUUGAUAAACAGAUGAUAUUUGAGGGACAUGUAUGCUUCAGACAGCUUUUGAGGCAAGAUCAUUUCAUCAUGUUUGUAGUUUAAAUAGCAUAACUUGAGGCAUCAAUGGAUUAUCUAGUAAUGAUGAAUUGGUUAAUUUGCAAUAUAAAGGCUCUUUAAUCAUCUGUUUAUCAACUCCAUGCACAAG
rnacentral:misc_RNA from 1 species